rnacentral:rRNA from 1 species
UAAUACAUGCAAGUCGAACGCUUUUUCUUUCACCGGAGCUUGCUCCACCGAAAGAAAAGGAGUGGCGAACGGGUGAGUAACACGUGGGUAACCUGCCCAUCAGAAGGGGAUAACACUUGGAAACAGGUGCUAAUACCGUAUAACAAUCGAAACCGCAUGGUUUCGGUUUGAAAGGCGCUUUUGCGUCACUGAUGGAUGGACCCGCGGUGCAUUAGCUAGUUGGUGAGGUAACGGCUCACCAAGGCAACGAUGCAUAGCCGACCUGAGAGGGUGAUCGGCCACAUUGGGACUGAGACACGGCCCAAACUCCUACGGGAGGCAGCAGUAGGGAAUCUUCGGCAAUGGACGCAAGUCUGACCGAGCAACGCCGCGUGAGUGAAGAAGGUUUUCGGAUCGUAAAACUCUGUUGUUAGAGAAGAACAAGGAUGAGAGUAGAAUGUUCAUCCCUUGACGGUAUCUAACCAGAAAGCCACGGCUAACUACGUGCCAGCAGCCGCGGUAAUACGUAGGUGGCAGCGUU